rnacentral:lncRNA from 1 species
ACAGUCUAAGUUGAAAUCUAUAUACUUUGAUAUUAUGAUCCUUUCUAUGCAAUGUAUAAUGUAUUUCAUGAUAUGAUCGGCCGGCAUCCUAUGUUUACAUUUGUGUUUGUUUUGUUUAUUUGUUUUUGUUUGCCGCUGGUGAGCUUGGUGUAAGAUGUUGUUUUGCGGCUGAAGCCUAAAGAAUGGAGAGGUUUCUCAUUAAAACAUUGGCUAAGGCCAAACAAUCAAAUACUGAUACUUCACAUAGUUCUACAAGUGAAUGUAUCUCUCGGGGCGUCACAGAAACUACAACAAUUAAUGCUAUAAGCGAGGCUCCAAGUAUUACUGAGUCUGAGGACAUACUAGGAAAUGAAAGGACAUGUCCAUCCCAAGAUCCAUUCAUCUCAUCAGAUGAUGAUGAUGAUGAUAUUCCACAUGAGCCAGUGGCUAAGAGAAAAAAAUCUAUAAACACAAUUUUAGAGAUUAAUGGAUAAAACAAUUUCAUUGGGUUGAGAAAAGGAAUAAUAAUGCCUAUUGCAAGUGUUGUGACACAGCAAUUGUAGGAGGGAGCAGUCACCUAACAAGACAUGACCAGUCUUCAAAACAUAUCUCAAACAUCAAUAAUCCACCAUUAAACUAGAUGGCUUUUUUUGCAAUAAGAAAAAAAAAGACCAUCAAAGGGCAGUUUUUAGUGCUGAGUUAAAACUCACCAUGUUCCUGCAUAAGCACAACCUUCUAUUUAAGCUAAUGGAUCACUUACCAAAAUUAGUCGAAUCUGUGUGUCCAGAUUCAAACAUCGCUAAAAGCUUGAAUUGUGGCAAGACCAAAGCUACGGCUAUUACAAAUGAGUUAUUGGCGAAGGACAGUAUAAGAAAGCUGAAGCAAAGCUUAGAGGAUGAUGGUCACCCAUUUUAUUCUCUCAUCAUCGAUGAAACUACAGAUGUGUCAACAAAAAAAUCUCUGGUUAUAGUGAUAAGAUUUUUUGACAAGAUAGGAGUAAAAGAUAAAUUUCUAGGUUUGAUUCAAGUAGAAAGUGCUACAUCUGAAUCUAUAUUUAAUGCAAUAAUUAAUGUUUUAAAUACUUAUGGUAUAUCUCUUGAAAAUAUGAUUGGAUUUGGUGCAGACAAUGCUAGUGUGAUGAUGGGACAUAAAGCAGGAGUUCAAGCUAAGUUUAAGGAGAAAAAUAAAGAUUUGUUUGUUUUGGGGUGCACAUGCUAUUCAUUGCACUUAUGUUCCAGUGCAGUUUGUACAAAAUUACCAAAGUCUGUUGAGGAGUUUGUGAGAAGUUUAUAUAACCAUUUUUCCAAUAGUGCUAAGCGGAUUGCAGACUUUGAACAAUUCCAAAUUUUUAUUGAUUUGAAGCCCCAUAAAAUGUUACGUCCAUCACAGACAAGAUGGCUGUCUCUGCAGAUAACUUAAAUAUAGUUUUAUAAAUAAUUUUAACUACACUUUUUUUGUAGGCUGUAGUGGAUAGGGUUCUUACACUAUGGGAAGCCCUAAAACUUUAUUUUACUAACUUUAUUUUUGAAACUAAAAUAGAUAGUUUGCAUGUAGACGGAAUUCUACUUGAACACUUAAAAAAUCCUAUAUAUAAAUUAUACUUGCUAUUUCUUUCUUAUAUACUAGAUGUAAUAAACUCAAUGAAUCUAAUAUUUCAGUCUGAAAACACUCAAAUUCAAAAUUUGUAUUCUAAAUUUACAAGCACAUAUAAAACAAUAUUAAAAAAUUACAUGAAAAAAGAUAUUAUUAAUAAUAUGCAAUUGUCUAAAAUUAAUCCUGCUAACCCAGAUUUUUUUGUAAACCUUGAACAUUUAUAUAUAGGGCCAAAUGCAGCAUUAUUUUUAAGUGAAAACAGUAUCUUGGAGUCAGAAUUAAACAAGUUUAGGGUAAAUAUAUUAAGUUUUUAUGUUGAACUUUCGACACAAAUAAGUAGCUACGAGUGGCGAUAUUGCGUCAAUUUUUGAAGCUCAAAAGUAUUUUAAAUUUCUCAAUUUAUCCCCUCAGUAAUUAGACUUAGAGUGGCCAACGUUACCAGAUAUUGAUUUAAAAAAACAAACAACUGAUUUUGAUUCUAUUUGGUUACACCUAUUUGACUGUAAAAACGAGCUAGAUAUGGAUAUGUUUCCAAACCUAACAAAAUUAAUAAAGACUGUAAUGUGCCUGCCUCAUUCUUCUGCUGCAGCCGAAAGAAAAUUUUCCAAAUUGAGUCUUAUUAAAAAUGAUCUAAGAAAUAGACUGAAUAUAACUAUGUGCAAUUCCAUCUUAUUAUCCUCAGAUAUGCUGGAUAAUAACGUAUGCUAUAUAUGGCAACCUUCAGAAAAACUUUUGCAACAAAAGCCAAAAUAUUUAUAGAUAUAUAAAAUGUAAUUAUUUAUUGUAUAAUAUGUAUACAUCAUUAGUUAAUAGGUUUACUUUUGUUUUUUGUUAUUUAAGUAUCUGGACAAAGAGAAAUUUUUUUUUUAUAUAUAAAUAUACAUAUCUUAUUUU